rnacentral:rRNA from 1 species
UAAACGACUCUCGGCAACGGAUAUCUCGGCUCACGCAUCGAUGAAGAACGUAGCAAAAUGCGAUACUUGGUGUGAAUUGCAGAAUCCCGUGAACCAUCGAGUUUUUGAACGCAAGUUGCGCCCAAAGCCAUUUGGUUGAGGGCACGUCUGCCUGGGCGUCACGC